rnacentral:lncRNA from 1 species
AAGUAAUAAACACAUCGUUGUACCCAACAUUUACAGAAAGACUUCCUGUUUGAGGGAAAAUCAAUGACCAGUUUAACACAUAGUAUUCUUUUCCUUUUUUUUUCUUUCUUUUUUUUUUUUUAAGGAAAAAUUAUAUUCUCUUGGGUAUCAAAAAUCGCUGUUUAUAGCCAGGUUCUAAAUUCCUGAAACCUAAGAUGUAUUAUGGGAACUCCUAAUAUUAACUAUAUUUAGUGGGCAUUUUAUUGUCCAUACAGGCAACGCUAUAAAAAAUAUUUCUUUCAUAACCUAUAUAUAUAUGUGUGUGUGUGUGUGCAUGUGCAUUUGUGCUCUUGAAGAAAUUCAUAUGAUCAGCAAAAAGGCUUUGGGUUUUAUUUUUAAAUGAAUAGAAAGUCUCACUAGAUCUUAAACUAAAUGCAAAGGAAACCAGAAAUGGACAAAGCAUUUGUGAGCACAAGCAGCCAAAACAGUUUGCAAUCUGAGUAUCAGCAGAAUCAGUCAUAUAUGUUAUAACAAAGUUAUUGUUAGGUUUUGCCCACACACCAAGAAAAUGUUUCAAAGGCCUGUGUCUCUUCAGACUUCCAGCUCAGGAAAUAGUUAGUGUUUCUUUUUUCUUUUUUUUUUCUUUUUUUUUUCUUUCUUUUUUUUUUCCAUACAAAAGAGCAAGCAGAUAUAUUCAUAUUUUAAAUGAGGGGAACAAAAGUAGAGGAAAAGCAAUGUUUCUGCAUGAACACGUGUUUCCCUCUGUGACAGUCUGCACCGAACAAAAUAACAGCCUGUGUCUGCAGGCACCAGGGGAUUGGGAAAUGUAAGAGUGCAGCACGCAGAAAGCAGAGAUGACAGCUGCCCAGAAAAGCUGCACACAAAAAGGUGAAUGGGGUGCCUUCAGCCGCCUCCUCCGGCAGACACUGAAUCCACAGCUGAAGUGCUAGGAGGUGCUGUGCCCUCCUUCUUCCCUCUGAUACCCAUGACCUGGGAGGUUAGCCACACAAGAGCAGCUCUCCCACAGCCAUCUCAUGUUCAGUCACACGUGUUCAAUGGCAGCAAGAAGGGAAUGUGGGAGGAACAAGCCCACCUUAUGCUGGACUUAAUGUGA